UCAGUGGCUUUUCCUGAACACUUGAGAGCACCUGGGCUUCCACGUGAGGAGCAAAAGCAAGCUGGCAGUGUUAGGAGACAUUCUUUAAGCACAGGGUGACAGAGGGGCUAUCAGCGAACCAAGGUUCUGGAUCCUGGGGCUUCGAAGCUCAUGGUACCCAGAGACUGCAUUUGCAGAGGAGCUGAGCCCAUAAAACAUUUUGAUGAUCUGAUAAAGCCAUGGAAAUUUUAAAUCCUGUAUGUCAUCUUAACUCCACUGAAGAACUGCUGUUCUUCACAAAGAAGAACAAAUGAACCUUAGGAAGGCAACAACAAAGGCAUUUCAUAGGCAUGAUGGAGGAUUGAGUUCAUCUCACUUAUAUUUGUGCUGUUUUACAUUAAUAUAGAGGACAACAAAAAAUGUA